CCUACGGGAGGCAGCAGUGAGGAAUAUUGGACAAUGGGCGCAAGCCUGAUCCAGCCAUGCCGCGUGCAGGAAGACGCAUCUAUGGUGUGUAAACUGCUUUUGUACAGGAAGAAACACUCCCUCGUGAGGGAGCUUGACGGUACUGUAAGAAUAAGGAUCGGCUAACUCCGUGCCAGCAGCCGCGGUAAUACGGAGGAUCCAAGCGUUAUCCGGAAUCAUUGGGUUUAAAGGGUCCGUAGGCGGUUUAAUAAGUCAGUGGUGAAAUCUGGUCGCUCAACGAUCAAACGGCCAUUGAUACUGUUAGACUUGAAUUAUAAGGAAGUAACUAGAAUAUGUAGUGUAGCGGUGAAAUGCUUAGAUAUUACAUGGAAUACCAAUUGCGAAGGCAGGUUACUACUUAUGGAUUGACGCUGAUGGACGAAAGCGUGGGGAGCGAACAGGAUUAGAUACCCUGGUAGUCCACGCCGUAAACGAUGGAUACUAGCUGUUGGGCGCAAGUUCAGUGGCUAAGCGAAAGUGAUAAGUAUCCCACCUGGGGAGUACGUUCGCAAGAAUGAAACUCAAAGAUUAGUACGGCGNGAGAGAGCGACGACGACGACGAGGAGGAGGNG
rnacentral:rRNA from 1 species